rnacentral:rRNA from 1 species
AUACGUAGGGGGCGAGCGUUGUCCGGAUUGACUGGGCGUAAAGGGCGCGUAGGCGGCCCGGUAAGUCUGGAGUGAAAGUCCUGUUUUUAAGAUGGGAAUUGCUUUGGAUACUGCCGGGCUUGAGUGGAGGAGAGGUAAGUGGAAUUCCCAGUGUAGCGGUGAAAUGCGUAGAGAUUGGGAGGAACACCAGUGGCGAAGGCGACUUACUGGACUGUAACUGACGCUGAGGCGCGAAAGUGUGGGGAGCAAACAGGAUUAGAUACCCUGGUAGUCCACACUGUAAACGAUGAAUGCUAGGUGUAGGGGGUAUCGACCCCUUCUGUGCCGCAGUCAACACAAUAAGCAUACCGCCUGGGGAGUACGGCCGCAAGGUUGAAACUCAAAUGAAUUGGCGGGG